UCGAACUUCAAUCAUGCCACAAAAUACUCUAAAAUAUUUCUAUAUACUAAUUUAAAUAAUUUGAUAUUAAAUACUCACUAAAACUUAAAUUAAUUUUAAUUCCAAUUUCCUCAACCAAUUCCACAACCAUUUCAAACACAAUCUUUUUUGUGUGCGUGUGUUAGUUUUUUUUUAUAAAAAAAAUAGGGUCAGGUCGGCUUUAAGUCCGAUCCUGACCCGAAAUUUAUUCGGGCCUUAAAAUUUUAGCCCUAACCCGACUCUAAAUCCGAAAAUUCGGGCCAAAGCCCUAAAAAUUAAGGUCGGGUUAGUCAAGCCAAAAAUAGGAUCGGACUAAAUUGCCAAGCCUAGUUGUAUAUGCUAAUCAAAUACCAAUGGUUACUUCUUAACAUUUAACGUUGCCAACUUGUCACAACAUUUUGAAUGAAAGCAUUUAAAUUAAAAGUAGAGUAGAAAGAAUGAGGGCAAUGACUUGUUCUUAAGUGUUGCCUGAUGAAUUGAGAUGAUAUAAAUAUGAUUUUAAGAACAAACGUUCUCGGUAUAAUAAUUCUAUUUGUAUAUAACAAGUUGUUGGGGACAAAAAUCAUAUCAUAAAACGAUAAACUAUAUAAGAUCGUAACACAGAGACAGUAACUUUAAGAACCCAAAAUAAUUUACAAUUUAUUAUUAAAUUAAUUUAAUCAUGAAGAGUAUUUAAAUAUAAGUCAUUAAUUGCACUUGAUUUGUAUUCUCAAAAUAUUUAUAGUUUAUGACUAACAUCAAGUCUAUAGGUACAAUAGUAAAAUCACAUAUAAAAUUAACAUUGUUAUAAUUACAUGGAGAGAUUUGAGUUUAUUUUAAAAUAUAAGCGGUACACUUAGUUUCUCCAAACAACAGGAAAUUAAUCUUCAUUUUCCCUUUUUAUUUUAAUAUUGAUAAAUCUGCUCAUGAUUAUGAUUAAGAAUCUAUUAGGACACAUCUAGAACAAUUAUUAAUGUAUGAACCAAAUGUCUAUUCCCAUAAAUCGAUUGAGAAUAGCAUAGAUCAAGAAUUAGGCCGGAAGCUGCCCUCUCAAUUAUUUUGAUAUUUAUCAUUUUGGUACAAUUUUCCACAGUUGUAGGUCCACAAAGAAGUACAUGUACGCAAUAGUCGUCCACAAAAGCAUGCAAAUUGAUACCAAUACGAACAAGUGUUUAAUGGGGCAGAUACAAAAUAUGAUUUUGCUAUCAAUGAAAAUGUUGUUUACAUCUUCACUCUCAUUCAUUUUCAUGCAAGCAAAUCAAAACUUUGUUUUUCUUGGAAGUUUAAUAUGUUAUUUUAUUACGUGACUUAAGAGUUAAGGAUAACUAGAAAUUGCCACAUGACGAACAAGUGUUUAAUGGGCAGAUACGGAAUAUUAUGUUGCUAUCAAUGAAAAUGUUGUUUACGUUAGAAAAUAUAUCAUCUUCACUCGCAUUCAUUGUCAUGAAAGCAAAUCAAAACUUUUGCUCUUCUUGGAAUUUUAAUACACUUUCUACAUUUGUUUUAUUGGUUGACUUAGAGUCAAGGUAAUCUAAAAAUUGUCACUUCUAUCUUAAUUUUUUGUGUUGGCUAAAUCCUCUUUUCUGAAUCUAAUAUUUUACUUGUCCCUUUCUGAGAUUAAAGACACUCAUAUGUGAAAUUGUUAGUAUCUUGAGAAUAAAAAUUUGAGCUUAUAGCAACGUUAAGAAGCUAACAUGAAGAUCUAAUUGCUUAAAUUUUUAACAUGUCCUCCAAGGUAGUUAAUGUUAGAUUUUUAAUAAUAGGGGUUUUGCUCAUUUUUCCAUACCUAAAACAAAAAGACUAAAUGUCAAUUAAACCCUUUUUUUUCUGAAAUUUUAGUGUAAAGUUAAUAACCAAGUGCCCAACACACUUAACACAUGUCAACCAAAUUAUUGACAAUGCAUCACUUGGGGGAUAUGCCAACAAUGUAUCCUAAUCUAACAAUUUACAGGUAAUAUUUCUCUUCGCUUGGCCUAGGUCUUCAACGUAGUUUUCAUUAGAGAUGAAAGAAAGAAAGAAAUGUUAUUUUAUCAAUAAUACUAGGAACCUUAAUAUUUGAGUCCAAUAUGAGUUUCAAUUACUAUGUGUCAAAUUUAUUAAAAAUUAAAUUUUAUAACUUAUAAAAUUAUCAUUAUGCUAUUUAAUAAAUGAGUGCCACAUGAAAUACAAUUUAAAUUAAAACUCAAAUAUUGAGUUUCCUAACAUUACCGUUAACAUGAACCGAAAGGAAGAAAAAAAUUGCAAAAUGUGCAGCGCUAAGUUGUAUCCACUACAGCGAGAUGAUGCAAAUAACUUUAACACAUUACAGAAGCCCCAUCACCAACACUAUAAAGUAAGAUCAGUAAACACAAUUUGUUUAUUCUAUUUUGUGUUCUGAACAUUGGCUGGCUAAACAGCUGGCUGUUAAGACUCACAAAACGAAAACUGAAUAAUAAAUUAAUAAUGAACAAGACAAAACUUGAAAAUUUUCUGACUGCUGCGGGUGGGCUCUACAUUUACAUCAUGAAGAUGCUUCUUGAUCAUAAUUUUAAAAUAAAUGGAAUUAAUUAAUCCAACUAAUCACUUCAUAAAUCCUAAUCAUCGUAAAGUUUAGAGUAAUCAGCAACUUAUUAGACACUUCAUUAGAUACAAUUGAUCCUAUCCAAUAUCCAUAUGCCUUUAAAUUUCUUACAAGAAUUAUGAUAGUCUACUAGAUCAAAAAAUUGGUGGCUAUAUUUUGAUAUAUAAUUUGAAUAUAAUUUUCUAUUUUGACCCCUAUUUUAAUUAGGGCGGCAAUCAAAUAAAAUUACUUAAAAAUAUUCAGUCAAAUAAUCUUGGAGAAUAAUUUUUUAAAAUUUAUUUUGACUAACUAUAUGAACGAAUUUUCCUUGCACUGAAUAUUUGUCUCCUCAACACAAUAAAAUAUAAACAAAUUCUUUUUUCGUCAAUAAAAUUAUAGAAUUUAAGAAUUUAAGAAUUUAAGAAUUUCAAAUAAUAAAAUUAAUGUAUUAAUGAAAAAAUCAAAAUCAAAAUCAAAAUAAAGAACCGGUUAGAAUAUAUGGUAGAAUUCAAAUUAAUUUAUAGGCUGAAAGUUAAUCUAGAAAAUUUUAAAUUUUCAGCCAAAAUUUUCAGAAAAGCCGCUCAAGAUUCAAAAGAAAUUUAUUAAUUUCUCAAGAAAAUGUGAUGUGAUAAACUUGUGACUAGUAAUAUCCAUCACAACAUGUGACAGAUAUUGUUCUGACAUUAACUAUGAUACGGUGAUGAUAACUACAGACGACAGCUUGUAGUUCUCGGGUGGGGGGUCGGGGUCGUUGGGGGAAAUGAUAACUACGGAUGACAGCUUGUAGUGCUCGGGUGUUGGGGGGAGGGGUGGGGGUGUGUGGGUUUCGGGGUAGUUGGCUAAGUUAAGGAUCAUGGAACUGACAGAUCCAGUGGCCGCCAACUCCCAUUGCUUGUACGUCAGUGCUUUUUCUCUCUCCCUCCCCUCCCUCCCCUCAGGACACAUGGCUGCCAACCCUACUGGUAUGAGAAUUUUAGGGUUGUAGUUUGUUUUCGGUCUUUUUUGUACUUGCCAUUUUAAUUAGUUGUGCUAGUUAUGUAUUAUUUUAAAAAAUUAAAUUAAAAUCCUUGUGUGAGAGUCAUUUUGGAUUGGAGCACAUAGUUUGCAUUUCAAUUGAGUUGUAAAAUGAUCAUGUUAAAAACUAAUAAUAAAAUCAAUUAAUAUUGUACAUCUUACAAUUAAUGCCAUAUCACUUAGUGUGCAGACUAUGUAUAGAGUUUAAAAUAUUGUAAUUACACUAUAUACUAUUAUAUUUCAUGGGUGCAGGUGUGCACUAUACAUGUGUGUAGAGUGCUUUUUUAAUUUAUUUAUAUUAAAAUAUCCUUAAUAAUAAAUGAAAUGGUUGGUAUAUUUGUUGUAUGAAUUUUAUAAAAUUAUGAGUAUUCAAACUAUUUUUAGAAUGUAAGUAGCUCCACCUAAAUAAAAAUUAAAUGUUAUUCAUUUUUCUUUUAAUCCAAAGGUCCUUUGUAUUGGACCCCAACUAAAAUGUUUUUUUUUUAUUGAAUUUUGAGACUUUAUUAUUUUAAGAUUGUGUAUUAAAAGAACUAUAGCGAUAAUAGUAAGUUUUAAGAGGGAUUUAAGUAUCCUUAUUUUUUAUUUAAUUUGAAGGUCCAUAAUGUUGGACCCAGUUAACUGUUUUUUAUCCAUCAAACGGUAUUGAUUGCCCUUUAAUUUGUGACUUUUUUUUAAAAACAAUAUGAUUCCAUUAAACAUCAGGAUAAAACAAAUCUCAAAGAUAACAACAUAGGUGUGGUGGGAAAUCAUCCACCCAAGCAUAAUACUUCCUACAACAGAUAUAAUAUUUUGCUAAUGCAUCUGCUGCUGUGUUACAAACCCUUGAGAAUGUCCGAACCUGAAAUUUGUGCUUUGGAGAAAGUAAGUUUUUUGCUUUAGAAAUGAGCCAAAACAACUCAGUGCGAGUACUAAGUCGAUCUGACACGAAUUGAGUUACAUGAAGAGAAUCAUAUUCAAUUAUUAGUGGAGAUAAACCAAUCUCCUUAGCCAUCUGUAAUCCAAAGCAUAAGGCUUCAGCCUCAGCCAAAUCAACAUCAUCAGAGAAAACACCUUGAGCCAUUCCUGCAGUCAUCACCAAGCCAUCAUGAUUUCGCACAACAGCCCCAUAACCCACAAUACCCUUUUUGCAUCCACUGCUGCAUCAACAUUUAGCUUCAACCAAUCCACAGGUGGCGGUUCCCACUUUACAUUCUCCUGCCUUUCACUACUCAAAUUACACUUAACACUAUUAAUAUCCAAACUCUGAAAAGAGUCCAAAAUCCCUUGAGCCCGUGCACAAAUAUUUUGUGCUCCACUAGAUUGACCCCUAAACAGCAUAUUGUUUCGUGCCCCCCAAAUACACCACAUAAACAUCACCACUAAGCAUAACUCAGUUAUGGAUAAGAUAGACACAACAUAUUUAUAAAAAAAAACACCAGUAAUCAUUUGAAGCAUCACAUAAUACCAAAUCAGCAAAUAUUGUUUCCCGCCAAACCUUUUGUGCGAAAGCACAAUGAAAUAAUGCAUGCAUAAGGGUCUCACAAAGAGAACCACACAAACUACAGCUAGCAUCAGAGAGUACCUUUCGAAUUACGAGAUUGACCUUUGUCGGAUGUACAUUGUCCAGAAUACGCCAAAGAAAAAUCUUAACUUUGGCGGGCACCUGUAAAGUCCAAAUCAAGUUCCAGCCCUUUGAAACCCCAACCGACAAUCCCGCAGUUGCUGAAUCCCUAAGCUGUAUAGCCAGACGAUACCCCGAUUUAACAAUGUACAUACUACAUUUAUCGAAAUGCCAAAACACAGCAUCGUCCUUGUGCUCAGAGGGAAGCUUCAAAGUUAAAAUCAAUUCAACAUCAGUAGGUAAAAAGUGUUCCCGUAAUCUUGCCGCAUGCCAGCCAUUCCUAGGAUUAAGUAAAUAAUCUACUGUUGUUUCCAGUGGUAGUGAAGCUGGUGACAUAGGCUUUAAUUUGUGACUUUAGUUUAUUGUAUAAGACCAAAUAUUAAAAAUACAUCAAGAACAAUGUAUAGUGAUAAAAAUAAAGUUUAAAGACUAAAAUAAUAUUAUAUUUUUAUUUAAUCCAAAGGUCCACUGUAUUGGACCUCGCUAAAAUGAAUUUAGCAAGCAUUCUUGACUUGUGAUUGGGCUAUUGACACCUAUUUUACUUUGUAACUUCGUCGCUUAUGCUGGGCAUGUGCAUGCAUUUUCUUCGGCUGUUGACUUCUUGAUAUUCACUGCUAAAGCUGACUACAUGCUUGUUUUUUUAUGAUUUUUCAAAGAAUCUUUUCUUCAGUUCUUUUGUGAUCAGGUGUACGAAUGUCAUCACGAGAGGCCAAUUUUGUUCGAUACUCUGUUCCAUUAUUGGUUUAAGUAAGGAGUAAAGGCCCUUUCAAAAUCUGAUAAGGUUGUUAAAGUAGCUCAUUAUUCAAGCAGCUUAAUAAAGCCACGUCAGCCGAAAGUUGUUAAGUGAAGAAUAACAGCUCAGCAUGAUUUGUUAAAGGUCAUUGUCCAGCUCAUAAAAUCGUUAUGUAACAAAUUCUACUAUAACAUUACAGAAGCCCCAUCACCAACACUCUAUAAAAGUAAGAUCAGUGAACACAAUUUGUUUAUUCUAUUUUGUGUUUUGAACAUUGGCUGGCUAAACAGCUGGCUGUUAAGACUCACAAGACGUAAACUGAAUAAUAAAUUAAUAAUGAACAAGACAGAACUUGAAAAUUUUCUGACUCCUGCGGGUGGGCUUUACAUUUACACCACUACAAGAAAAAUGACCUAUAAUGACAGAUACUCAUGUGACAGUUUUUAGCUAAAAGGCUUUAUAUCUUAUAAGUACGACAUACACGUAACAGAAAUUUUUUCUAUAAAAAAUUUAUGAUAAAUAUAUGAUAGAAUUUACUGUUGUCAAAUACUUAUGACCAACUAAUGAUUUAUAUUUUCUCUAUCAAAAAAUUAUGAUAGAAUUUUAUUUUGACUUUAGAUUUGACCGAAAUUUUAAAAAUUCUAAAUAAUAAAAAUAAAAAAUAAAACAACAUCAAAACAAAGAAAGAAGUGAAACGACGUUGUUUCAGACCUUUAUUAGUAUUUCAAUCUCUUUUUUCCCCAAGUGUUAAGGCCACACUCACUCGUUACUCUAAAACUUCUCUCUCUAGUGUAGCUCGCUCCUCACUGACAAUGACAACCCUCACUGUCGUUGGCUCGCCGCUGACCCGCCGCAGUUUUUCUUUGCCACAGCGGAAUCAAAUUCAGUCCUAAAUCGAAACCAAAACCUUACCUGUCGACGACAGCCGAAACCCUAGCCAUCAAGAAUCCCUGAAAGCAACACUCAUUCGCAAGCAAGCUUUACCUAUUUCUCAGCGAUUUCUAGCAAGUGAUGGUGAGCUUCGCCGUUAUCUCAACUAUCUUCGACACGAGCUUCAAAGUUCUCAUCUCUUUUAAACCCUAAGUAUGAUUUUUUUUGUGGAUUUCAAUUUUUUUUUUGCAUUAUUAUUUUGUUUGAUUGUUUCUCUUACUCGAUUUGUGAUUAUAAAUUUAUAUAUAGUAUAGGAUGUUGUUCCGACUCUUGCAUUAAUGAUAUAUUUUUUACAUAUGGGUUUUGCAUUCCAUGUGUUUGUUAAAGGUUCUAUUACAUUUCUGGGUAUGUUGUGUUUUAGUAUUACAAUAAUUCAUUAUAGAAUUUUCUCAUUUAUUAAAUUUUAGAAACAUUUCUUGAGCUGCUUUAUUAAUCGGCUAAAUUGAGCGAGACGGGGAUGAGUAGAACAACGAGGCCGGAACUGAUAGCGUUAUACGAAUGAACUUCUCCGUUUUAGGAUUCAAGAAAUUUACAAAUCUAGUUAAUAAUGUUCGUUUGGGCUUUUAAUGAUAGGAUUACAUUUUAUUCUACAAUUCAGCCUUCUUUUGGAUUGAAAAGUCUUGUACAACUUGUGACAAUUGAUUAAGUUGCUACUCAAGUAAUGCCCUGUGUUUGCAUUUUGGCUCAUAAUGCUUGAUCCUUCAAUGGGAAUGAAAAGAAUAUUGAAAAAUUGCUUCAAAAUCUAAUUAAUAUUAUCUGCAAAAGUUUCUUGAAUAAUUUGCGGAGUGAAUCUCUUAAUCGUCAUUAGUAAUUUAGUUAACUGCAGACUUUGAAGUUUCCAAUUAUUUAUUCAUUCAAUAUAAUUUUUUCACUAGUGCAACAUCAGGUGGAAUUCUUAAUAAAGCUAUUGAAGCAGAGGAAAAGACGCAUGGAGACUUCUUAAGGCUGGUGAUGUUUCUUUCUUGUUCCUUCGAUGCUCUUGUUGGUGUUUAUUCACAAUCCUGUUAGUCUUAAAAUAUAUUUCAAAAAUUCUGAUCUCAUUUGUUUGUUGGGACUAUACAUACCAGAGCAUAUAAAGGGCUACUUGGAAUUGUCAGCCAAGACAAAAAUUUAUUUUUGCUACAGAUUUUUCCAAGGGGGGUGCAGAAUUUUGUAGGUGAGGGGGCUCGAGGGAAAUGGGGGAGUCCAUAUCUCGUGGCAUCAAAUUUGAUGAUGAUGUUCAUGUAAAUUUGGGUAAGGAAACUUUGUUAUGUUUAUUUUUAUUCUGAAAUGUGAUAUCAAGCUUUUCAAGUAAGGAAUUGCUUAUAUUAGUUGUUCUUUAAUUCCUAUUUUUCUUUUUAGUCUCUUUUUCGGGUAUGCAAACAUUGAUUGAUAAGUUUGCUGAGGCUGAGCAUGCAAUGCAUUAAUCUUAAAGAGUUAUAAUUCUAGCAUUCACUCAAAUUCUUGGUAUAUUCUAAUUCAAAACAGUAUUAAACUUUAAUUAAGGCAUGAGAUGAUUACCAGUAGGAAGGCAUGCUAAAGAGAACAAAACUUAAAGAAUCAUGAACUUAAGUACUUAUAAAUUUGAUUUGGCCUAAGAAUUACAGCUAUAGCUAUUGAUUUUAAUUUUAUUUAUAUAUCAUUACUUAUUGACAGGAAACUGCAGAACGCAAAGAUUACUGUGGAUGCUUUGUCUAUGUGGUAGGUGUUAUACACAACUAAUAGUACUAUAUAAUUUAUAUUUUUAUUUAUUUUGUUGCAUAAAUUUCUUCAAUCCUUUUUAACGCCUUACUUUAGAGAAGGGAAAAAAAGGGUCUGGCCUUAUUCUUCAUUGAAUAUUUUCAUAUUCAAUUAAUUUCAUGUGUAAAUACUUAUUUUUCUGGAUAUGUUCGAUUGAUGAAAUGGGGUACAUUUUACUUGGCUUAGGGGCUGCUGGAUUUUGCUGCUAGAAAAGGACUACAUUUGCAAUACAUUUUCUAUUGCUGAAUGCUAAGUGCUUCACUCAAUUCUUCUUAAUGCAGCCUUAUAUACUUACACUUUUGUUUAGACCUUAUGGAAUUCUUAUAAUUGAUAUGACAACCUCUACUAUGUAUUACUUGGAUUCAAUAGUUAGUGUAGCACACGUGCAUGCAAUUAGAGCGGCUAGCUGCAUGUUUGCUUGCUUCACUGAUAUCUUUGGAUUUUGAUUGUGCUCAAAGCCAAACCAAAAAGCUGUGCAUAUCAUAAAAGAAGCUCCAUCGCAUCACAUCAGUAAGCUUUCAAAAAAGUUUGUGGUAAUUGCAAGGGAGAUGUUUUAAGAUCAUUUUCCACACCAUGUUUUGAUGAUGUUAUAUUUACUUGUGCAGUUACCUAGCUUGUUGCACUUGCUAUGUUGGAAUUUGAUGAAGAUGGUGGGUAUUGCUGGAGUUGGCCAUCUUUUUUCUUUGAUGCAAAAAUAGGUCAUGAGUAUUGGUGCAUCUUUGCACUUUUUUAGCUUCUUCUUAGAUUGGUAUUUGUUGUAUGCUUCACUAAAACUGCUAGAAUAAAUUUUUUUUUUUUCGGUCUGAUCAGUGUUGUUGGCUUUGUUGUGUUGCUGGAAACGAACUGAUCAUGGUUCAUUAGUCUCAAAACUGCUAGUCUUCUACAUGUUGCUGAAAUUUGGUUUUUAUGUUGUUACAAUACUCUUCUAUUUAUGUUGGACUUGUCACUUGUAUUUGGUUAAAUUAUGUUUGUUGACAAUUAUCGAUAAUUAUUUAGUGUUAUUCAUUUCAUUUUCUUUGUUAGUGAAUUUUUAAUUGCAAUAUUCAUUUUAACAAUCUAAUUAAUAACUAAAUUAUGAAAUUUUAAUUUCUAAAUCAAUUGCAAGAUUUUUAUUAAAAUGAUAAGCAUUUCAUGGUAGUAACAAAAUAGUCAUUUUUAUUAAUUAUAAAUUUAAUUUCAGAAUUAAUUGUAAAAAAAAAUUCAAUUAGUUAUAAUUUUCAUUUUCGCGCCAAAUUUAAGAUUUCUCUCUAAAAAUUCAAAAUAUAGCAUGCGAAAUUAAAAAAAAGGGUCAAAUUCAAAAUUAUUAUAUUUCCCUCUAAAUAAAUUUAUGAUAGUUGUUUGACUGGUUAUAUCCAUCACAGGUUAUGACGGGUAUUGUUCUGUCAUCAAUUCUUGACGCUGGCUACAAUGAUGGUAUGAACAACUGUCAUCCACCCCUUACUAUGACAGUUUUACCUGUCAUAGUAGGUCCUUUUUCUUGUAGUGCAUCAUGAAGAUGCUUCUUGAUCAUAAUUUUCAAAUAAAUGGACUUAAUUAAUCCAAUUAAUCACUUCAUAAAUCAUAAUCAUCGUAAAGUUUAGACUAAUCAUCAACUUAUUAGACGCUUCAUUAGAUACAAUUGAUCCUAUCCAAUAUCCAUAUACCUUUAAAUUUCUUACAAGAAUUAUGAUAGUCUACUAGAUCAAAAAAUUG
rnacentral:lncRNA from 1 species